rnacentral:misc_RNA from 1 species
AUGUACCAUGUCAUGAAAAAGACAUUUCGGAGUACGUUCUUUUACUGGUCUCGCGCCCACAGUCUUUCCACCAUGGAGUUCCAAGUUGGAAUACUGUCAUUUUUGCUGUUGAUCACAGCCGUUUCGCCUCAGGGCUUUAUGGGCAUGGAACCUAUCAUUAGUCCUUCCGGAAGUGGUAAUGGGAUCCACAGUGUAACCAAUUCGAACCCAAAUCCUAAUGCUCGUCCUAAUGGCGCCGGAGGGGCUCCGAACAAUCCUGCAAUGGAAGCGGUCCAGAACCCAAAUCGGUUGGCUAUGGCCCCCUUUCUUGGCGAGCAGGGUAGACCAGGAACAGAUUUUUCUCGGCCAACGAAUGCAGGGAAUCCCAAUCCAAACAAUCUCAUCAACAUGAGGAGGAAACCACCCCAGCCUCCCAUGGUGGUCAGAAUGCCCCAUCUCUGCCAGACGGCAUCCUGGAGCACUGAUUCAAUGGUUGUUCUGCCGAUGCCAAUGUCCCGGAUGAAGACUGCCGUGGGGACCCUUCCGCUGAUGCGAGGAGUCGUCACACAGCAGGGCAGAAAGAUGAUACCUUUCACAAUGGAACAAAUAAUGAUGAUGAAGAUGAGAAACCAAAUGAUGUCUAUGGUUAUGCAUGAUUCGGGCCCGAUGGCAGCGCAUACGAUGAAUAACAUGGAGCCUGAACCAAACAUGAUGAACACCAUGACAAAUAUGCCUGCUAAUAACAUAGUGACAGGGAUGGUAAACAGAAUGCCACAAACAAACACGAUUAAUCAAAUGGCCAUGAUGUCGACAUCACAAAAUGGCGGCACUACAAAAACCGUCUGGAUGGAACCUUCCUCUAAUACAGUGGUUGCAAUGUCCUACCCAACAGGUUCAGGUGGUGCCAACAAUGUUCGAAUAGCUGUUUAUUGAUUUUGGAAUUAAACAUGUUCAUAACAAUCGCCAUGUGAAAAGUUGAAAACUUCUUGUGUAUAUUUCUCAGUCUGACCAUUGUAAUAAAACAGAGUUGCUGUAUCAAGAUUUUCUUGUAUAAAGGUUUGUAUAAAAAAAAAA